rnacentral:rRNA from 1 species
GCUCAACCGAAGAAGUGCUUCGGAAACUGGGAAACUUGAGUGCAGAAGAGGACAGUGGAACUCCAUGUGUAGCGGUGGAAUGGGUAGAUAUAUGGAAGAACACCAGUGGCGAAGGCGGCUGUCUGGUCUGUAACUGACGCUGAGACUCGAAAGUAUGGGUAGCAAACAGGAUUAGAUACCCUGGUAGUCCAUACCGUAAACGAUGAAUGCUAAGUGUUGGAGGGUUUCCGCCCUUCAGUGCUGCAGCUAACGCAUUAAGCAUUCCGCCUGGGGAGUACGACCGCAAGACUGAAACUCAAAGGAAUUGACGGGGGCCCGCACAAGCGGUGGAGCAUGUGGUUUAAUUCGAAGCUACGCGAAGAACCUUACCAGGUCUUGACAUACCAUGAGAAUCUAAGAGAUUAGACUUUCCCUUUGGGGACAUGGAUACAGGUGGUGCAUGGUUGUCGUCAGCUCGUGUCGUGAGAUGUUGGGUUAAGUCCCGCAACGAGCGCAACCCUUAUUAUCAGUUGCCAGCAUUAAGUUGGGCACUCUGGUGAGACUGCCGGUGACAAACCGGAGGAAGGUGGGGAUGACGUCAAAUCAUCAUGCCCCUUAUGACCUGGGCUACACACGUGCUACAAUGGAUGGUACAACG